GGCGCUGUGGAUGGUUGGUAAAGCGCCUGUCUAGUAAACAGGAGAUCCCCAGUGCAAAUCCGGGCAGUGCCU
rnacentral:tRNA from 1 species